GCUUUGAUGGUUCUUCAUUAGACUGUAGACAGCUCAUUAUACCAGUUAUUCUAUGUUUGAUAGUGUCGUAUAGGUGGAUACCUGUGGUAAUUCUAGAUCUAAUACAUGUCAAAAUGAUAUUAUAUAUAUACAUAUGUAUUUAUUGGGCUUUAAUUUUUAUCAAACCAAAGUGCGUCAACACUGUGGAUGAAUCAAAGUAAAGAUUGUAAAUCGCAAUACACGUGAUACGUCAUUCAAGUUUCUGACCUAUCAGUUAGUGAGUAGUGUCUAGGACUAUUGAGGCAUUAACGGGUAACGGAGAAUUAGGGUUCUAUUCCGGAGAAGGAGCCUGAGAGACAGCUACUACAUCUAAGGAAGGCAGCAGGCGCGUAAAUUACCCAAUUCUGAUCACGAGAGGUAGUGACAAGAAAUCACAAUAUUUUGCCUUAGGGUUAAAUAAUUGAAUUGAGAACAAAGUAGAUAUUUUAUUGAUAAACUA
rnacentral:rRNA from 1 species